GCAGAUGCGGGGGGGAAGGAGAGAGGCUCCCUGGGCAAAGCACCUGUCCCGUUAGCGGGGGCACAGUCACGUUUGAGUUGAGAGCUGCCGGCGCCUUUGGUGACCAGGCUGGCGUUGUGCUGGGCGACCUCCCCGUAAGCGGGGCUCGGGUCUUUGCUGUAGUUGGCCUUUUGCCUUGCUGCUCCUUUGGCUGCCUGGGGAGCGUGGCCCCCUGUAACGGAGGGCGAGAGCCACCUCUCCGCACCUGAGUGGGAAAUGGAGCUCGCCGGACCCCGAGGCCACCCUGUAAGCAGGGUAGUGCCGUUUCCCUGCCCCUCUUCCUCCCUCGGCCCCUCGGCAUCGUUGCCUGAUGGUGGCUUGUCAACGCGACGGCCCCGUACUCGGGGUGUGCGUCACGGCAUUUGGCCGCUGGCUUUACCUGAGAAGCCCCUUGGCACGUUGAGGUCUGUGGCCUCCGUGCAGCCUAGGGACAGGUCACAGGCUCUUGUCUGUUGCCCGUGGUUGUGGGUUUAUUCCCAGGUGUUGGCUGUGCUGCGUUGUCCUUCCCUUCUGGAAAGUCGUGCCUGUGUGUGCGUGUUCCCCUUCCUUUCCUUGUUUGUGUUUGUGGAGUGGUUGAGCGGGUGUGCUUUCCCUUUAGGCCUCCACAAAGAUGGCUGCAGCUUAGCUUUGACUUCCCAGGGGGGAAUGGAGGACUUUGGUGCAUGCCGCAAAAGGGGUGUUCCCUCUUAGUCCUGCGAGCGCAGCGAGUGUCCUGUCUUCCUACUAUUUUCCUUAGUGCAGAUCAGAGCCACACGGUAGUUCUGUGGCCAAGGCCUCCCUGUAGCCAGGGCUUGGGCCUGUCCUUGCGUGGCCGCCUGUCCUGCUGGCGGCGGUGACAGCCCCGUAGUCGGGGUGUGUGUCCCAAGCUUUGGAGCCCUCUGUCCCUGAGCAGCCCGCCCGCCCUGUAAUCAGGUGUGGGGAGGCUGCAGCGUUGCAGCCGGCUGCUUUAGCCAUCCAGCUGGUGGGAGUGACCCCUCCCUGUCCCGUCAGAGGGUGCAGGUUGAGGUGCUGUUUGUGUGUGGGGUGACCUCCCCGCUCGGUGGGUCGAGGUAGCUCCCUGGGCUUCCAAAGACGAGGCGUUGGUGAUGUUCUGCUGCUGCCGGGCGGGCCAGCCUGUAGCUCAGGCGUUGGCGGGAGCCUCGUGCUCCGCGGGGCUUCUUGAAGAGGGUGAGGUGUGGGAGUACCGUCCUGUAGGCAGGGCUGUGUGUGCCCCCCGUGUGUGCUUGGUGAGCUGCGUUCUGAGAGACCCCCUGUACUCAGGUGGGAAUGUGGCCCCGGCCUUUCAGAGGCGCGGGGCCGUGAGACGCGGGGUGGGGCUUGCGCCCUCCCUGGAAUCGGGGCUGGGAUCCCGACUGCGGCCUUUGGCCGUGCCGCCCCGCUGCCUGGCUGCUGAGAGUUGCUCCUGCCGCUGGGGGGGAAACCGAGCUCUGUGGCUCCAGGGGUGUUGUCCACCCGCCUGUAAUCAGGGUCUGGGUGCGUGAGCGUUUGUGCUCUGCUGGCAGCCUGUGUGGGGUGACCGCCCCGCUAGCGGGGUGUGGGUCGAGGUGCCCCGGACUGGGAGAGAAGGAGCCUCCCUCGGCCGUAGGGAUGGGGGCUGCCCUGUAAGUCAGGGAGCAUCUGUGUCCCGGAGUCCCAGGCCCUUUUCAAUGGCGGCAGUGGCCGGGGGUCCCCUGUAAGCAGGGAAGCUGACUCUUUGGCUGCUGCUUUUUGUGUGCCCAGCCCCAUUUGCCCAGUCUGCCCGCCUCUGUGAUCCCCCGCAGCACUGGCUGGAAGUCCGCCGCGCAUCAGAGCUGCUUCAGAAGAAAGAAGAAGCGGCGUGGGGACCUGGGCUGCAAAAUCAAGAUGGGGCAUCUGUUGACUGUUUUUCUUGUAUUUCUUUGCCUUUUGGAGCCACAGUUUUGAACGGUUGUGUAAGACUUUAUCACUCUUUUUGUCAGCGUCGUCAGCUGUGAAUAAAGUUUUUUUUCCAUGUUGUUUUUCCUGUUAUA
rnacentral:lncRNA from 1 species